CCUGCUUUCAGUUGCUACCGGUUCGGCCGAGCACUCUAACGAGACUGCCGACGUGAAGUCGGAGGAAGGUGGGGACGACGUCAAGUCCUCAUGGCCCUUAUGCCCAGGGCUACACACGUACUACAAUGGCCGGUACAAAGCGCUGCAAAC
rnacentral:rRNA from 1 species